UCUGGGAUAAGCGCUGGAAACGGUGUCUAAUACUGGAUAUGAGCUCUCAUCGCAUGGUGGGGGUUGGAAAGAUUUUUCGGUCUGGGAUGGGCUCGCGGCCUAUCAGCUUGUUGGUGAGGUAAUGGCUCACCAAGGCGUCGACGGGUAGCCGGCCUGAGAGGGUGACCGGCCACACUGGGACUGAGACACGGCCCAGACUCCUACGGGAGGCAGCAGUGGGGAAUAUUGCACAAUGGGCGGAAGCCUGAUGCAGCAACGCCGCGUGAGGGAUGACGGCCUUCGGGUUGUAAACCUCUUUUAGCAGGGAAGAAGCGAGAGUGACGGUACCUGCAGAAAAAGCGCCGGCUAACUACGUGCCAGCAGCCGCGGUAAUACGUAGGGCGCAAGCGUUAUCCGGAAUUAUUGGGCGUAAAGAGCUCGUAGGCGGUUUGUCGCGUCUGCUGUGAAAUCCCGAGGCUCAACCUCGGGCCUGCAGUGGGUACGGGCAGACUAGAGUGCGGUAGGGGAGAUUGGAAUUCCUGGUGUAGCGGUGGAAUGCGCAGAUAUCAGGAGGAACACCGAUGGCGAAGGCAGAUCUCUGGGCCGUAACUGACGCUGAGGAGCGAAAGGGUGGGGAGCAAACAGGCUUAGAUACCCUGGUAGUCCACCCCGUAAA
rnacentral:rRNA from 1 species